ACUUACUCAUCGGGGGGCCAGUCAUUCAUUUUGUGGAUGAUCAGCUGAGAUCAAGCAUCUGCUUGGGACCCGUAAACCUGAACCGGAUAAUGCCGGCGUAGGAAUUGAGUUUGGAGCAACC
rnacentral:ncRNA from 2 species